AUACUUACCUGGCAAGGGAGACACCGUGAUCACGAAGGCGGUUCACCCAGGGCGAGGCUCAGCCAUUGCACUCCGGCUGUGCUGACCCCUGCGAAUUUCUCAGAUGUGGAAAUCUCGAUUGCAUAAUUUCUGGUAGUGGGGGACUGCGUUCGCGCUCUCCCCUG
rnacentral:snRNA from 13 species